CCUACGGGUGGCAGCAGUGAGGAAUAUUGGUCAAUGGGCGCGAGCCUGAACCAGCCAAGUAGCGUGAAUGAUGACUGCCCUACGGGUUGUAAACUUCUUUUAUAAAGGAAUAAAGUGAGGCACGUGUGCCUUUUUGUAUGUACUUUAUGAAUAAGGAUCGGCUAACUCCGUGCCGGCAGCCGCGGUAAUACGGAGGAUCCGAGCGUUAUCCGGAUUUAUUGGGGUUAAAGGGAGCGUAGAGGGGUUGUUAAGUUAGUUGUGAAAGUUUGCGGCUCAACCGUAAAAUUGCAAUUGAUAAUGGCAGACGUGAGGACAGUUGAGGUAGGCGGAAUUCGCGGUGUAGCGGGGAAAUG
rnacentral:rRNA from 1 species